rnacentral:rRNA from 1 species
AACGAACGCUGGCGGCGGGCCUAACACAUGCAAGUCGAGCGAGGACUUCGGUUCUAGCGGCGGACGGGUGAGUAACGCGUGGGAACGUGCCCCUUGGUACGGAAUAGCCCCGGGAAACUGGGAGUAAUACCGUAUGAGCUCUACGGAGGAAAGAUUUAUCGCCAAGGGAUCGGCCCGCGUUGGAUUAGGUAGUUGGUGGGGUAAUGGCCUACCAAGCCGACGAUCCACAGCUGGUUUGAGAGGAUGAUCAGCCACACUGGGACUGAGACACGGCCCAGACUCCUACGGGAGGCAGCAGUGGGGAAUCUUAGACAAUGGGCGCAAGCCUGAUCUAGCCAUGCCGCGUGAGCGAUGAAGGCCUUAGGGUUGUAAAGCUCUUUCAGCUGGGAAGAUAAUGACUGUACCAGCAGAAGAAGCCCCGGCUAACUCCGUGCCAGCCGCCGCAGUAAAAC